CCCUCCCUCUGGCGGCAUGCCUAACACAUGCAAGUCGAACGAGACCUUCGGGUCUAGUGGCGCACGGGUGCGUAACACGUGGGAAUCUGCCCUUUGCUUCGGAAUAACAGUUAGAAAUGACUGCUAAUACCGGAUGAUGUCGAAAGACCAAAGAUUUAUCGGCAAAGGAUGAGCCCGCGUAGGAUUAGGUAGUUGGUGGGGUAAAGGCCUACCAAGCCGACGAUCCUUAGCUGGUCUGAGAGGAUGAUCAGCCACACUGGGACUGAGACACGGCCCAGACUCCUACGGGAGGCAGCAGUGGGGAAUAUUGGACAAUGGGCGAAAGCCUGAUCCAGCAAUGCCGCGUGAGUGAUGAAGGCCUUAGGGUUGUAAAGCUCUUUUACCAGGGAUGAUAAUGACAGUACCUGGAGAAUAAGCUCCGGCUAACUCCGUG
rnacentral:rRNA from 1 species